rnacentral:rRNA from 1 species
AGGACGAACGCUGGCGGCGUGCUUAACACAUGCAAGUCGAACGGAAAGGCCCGCUUGCGGGUACUCGAGUGGCGAACGGGUGAGUAACACGUGGGCAACCUGCCCUCAGCUUCGGGAUAACUCUCGGAAACGGGUGCUAAUACCGAAUGUUGACAUUUCCUCGCAUGGGGGUUGUGUUGAAAGUUUUUCGGCUGGGGAUGGGCCCGCGGCCUAUCAGCUUGUUGGUGGGGUGAUGGCCUACCAAGGCGACGACGGGUAGCCGGCCUGAGAGGGCGAUCGGCCACACUGGAACUGAGACACGGUCCAGACUCCUACGGGAGGCAGCAGUGGGGAAUAUUGCGCAAUGGGCGGAAGCCUGAUCCAGCAAUGCCGCGUGAGUGAUGAAGGCCCUAGGGUUGUAAAGCUCUUUUACCCGGGAUGAUAAUGACAGUACCGGAGAAUAAGCCCGGCUAACUCCGCGCCAGCAGCCGC